AUGUUGAUGGGUCACUAUGGCAACCCAUCCUGGUUCUUUUCACUAGGUCUUACCGAAGAUGCCUUUCACACUAGCAGUAAGGCCAUGGAGGAAGGACAGAGUGAAUCAUGGAGAAAGAACAUCCCAUCUUACCACCCAAUACAAUUAUGCAGUUGUGGAAGUAGAACUGGAACUCUGGGAGAGAUUUCUAUGGAUAGACCAGAAGCCUACCAGUACAGGAUGUUUGGGUACAGGACACAGGCACAGGUGAUUCCUUACCCUGGGCACAGGGAAGUCCUUGCUUGAGAGCACAGCUGACAGGACCAAAGAUUAGCACCUCAGUCAAAGGAAGGCAGUGCUUACUGGCCAGUGAUCUGUGAGGUGGCAGGUCACAACAUGAGAACCCCGGGAAACAGGAUGCUGUCUACAGGAAGUAGGAGCCGGGACCUGGUUAGAUUGUCUGAAGCACUCAAAUGUGAGACACACGAAUGGUAAAGCAGCUCGGAAGCACAGAGAAUCAUAGAGAGAAGGCAAUUAGUAGUCUCCAUAAGGUUGCCAAAGACACCACAAGCAAAAGCCAAGAGCUGAAGAAAGAAGAGCAGAGGCACUGAGUAGUUGCAAGAGAAGUGGACAUUAUAGGAGCUGAAAUAGAAGGUAGCGGAACCAUCAGGAAACUGAAACUUGACCUAAAGGAGGACUAAAAGUGGGCUAAGUUGCUGGAGUACAGCUGUUGAGAUUAUUUUUCAUUAUUCCCGAGUUCUCUGGGUAUUCAUACAGCAAACCAACUAACUAUGUUAAACUGGGCUUCUCACUCUUCCUCUAACUUCAAAAAGUCUCAUACAUCUAAGAAAAUAUAAUGAAUUCAUAUGAUCCCAGAAUUUCAGCUCUACAAGAGAACUUAGAGACAUUUUGCCAAAGUGUUUUCCUGUUUAUUUUUCUUAUGAAGAAUUUCAGUGCCAGAGAGAAUAAAAGUCCUUGCUUUGCUCCA
rnacentral:lncRNA from 1 species